rnacentral:rRNA from 1 species
ACCCGCUGAACUUAAGCAUAUCAAUAAGCGGAGGAAAAGAAACCAACAGGGAUUGCCCUAGUAACGGCGAGUGAAGCGGCAACAGCUCAAAUUUGAAAUCUGGCUCUCUUUGGGGGUCCGAGUUGUAAUUUGCAGAGGAUGCUUUGGCAUUGGCGGCGGUCUAAGUUCCUUGGAACAGGACAUCACAGAGGGUGAGAAUCCCGUACGUGGUCGCCUGCCUUUGCCGUGUAAAGCUCCUUCGACGAGUCGAGUUGUUUGGGAAUGCAGCUCUAAAUGGGAGGUAAAUUUCUUCUAAAGCUAAAUACCGGCCAGAGACCGAUAGCGCACAAGUAGAGUGAUCGAAAGAUGAAAAGUACUUUGGAAAGAGAGUCAAAAAGCACGUGAAAUUGUUGAAAGGGAAGCGCUUGCAGCCAGACUUGCCCGCAGUUGCUCACCUAGGCUUUGGCCUGGGGCACUCUUCUGCGGGCAGGCCAGCAUCAGUUUGGGCGGUUGGAUAAAGGCCUCUGUCACGUAUCUUCCUUCGGGAUGACCUUAUAGGGGAGGCGUAAUGCAACCAGCCCGGACUGAGGUCCGCGCAUCUGCUAGGAUGCUGGCGUAAUGGCUGUAAGCGGCCCGUCUUGAAACACGGACCAAGGAGUCUAACAUCUAUGCGAGUGUUUGGGUGUCAAGCCCGGGCGCGCAAUGAAAGUGAACGGAGGUGGGAACCCUUUGGGUGCACCAUCGACCGAUCCUGAUGUCUUCGGAUGGAUUUGAGUAAGAGCAUAGCUGUUGGGACCCGAAAGAUGGUGAACUAUGCUUGAAUAGGGUGAAGCCAGAGGAAACUCUGGUGGAGGCUCGCAGCGGUUCUGACGUGCAAAUCGAUCGUCAAA